AGAGGGUGUCCUACACUGAUGAGCAAUCCUAGUUCAGUCUGAUUUGAACUUCAUCUUAGUGUGAAAGGACUAGUGGGCAAACUUCCCCCUCAGCUGAUCACUGCUGCAAAAGCAGCCUGACAACAGACAGCCAAGUCAAGAAUUAACCUGCCAGUGGAGAUGACAAACUUCAAGAAAAGCUCAUGAGUCCAGUGGUGAAGCAGUGAAGCAGCUCCAAGCACAGCAGCACCUCAGCUGACCUGCAGCAGGAGACUCAAUCAGAACACUGCUGUGUGUCCUUGCGCUCAGACAGAGGAACAAGGAGGACAAUCAGGAGGUGUGGAAGAGACAGACCGGGUAUUGCUGUUGAGAUAAUGGAGCUCAUAGAUGGAGAUCCAACAGUCUGCACUUGGGAUGUCAGAGAUGAGCAUAUAGUAGAGAGGUGACUCCCUGGUCCAUCCCUGUGGCCCAUGGUGCAGUGCUGCAUCUCUGGUCAGUUGGUAGUCUGAGAUGAAGCACUGUAGCUCGGGACAGAGGACACUAAUAGCCGUCUAUCCACAGUCAGGAAACAGCAUCUAGCAGCAGCUCUCCAGGGCUCAGGUCUGCUUCACACAGGCAGAAUGAUAUGUAACAGAAACGACACUGUAAUCAGAGACACGUUGUGGAUGACUAUCAGCCAGGAAUUUAGAUAAGUCUGAACCAUUCCACAAAGGUUACUCAUUUUUUAAUUCAUAGUGAAGUUGUUGUUGUGUAACAUUAAUUUAUUUAAAGAACAUAGACAUAAAAUAAAACAAAAUUGUCUCAAAAUGAGAAUUUUACACUUUUUCUUGAUGUAUGUUUGAAAUAUUCUAUGAUAAUAUUUUUAAUAAUUUUGUAAAUUACUUAAUGUGUCAUUACUUUAUUUUAAGGAGUUACUAUUAAAUUCAACAUGAAACUUUUUAAAUGAAUGAAUUCUGUUUAUGACCUCUGUCUACCAAAUGCAGUGAUUUUGGUGUAUAGAUAUGGCACUGUAAGAACAAGGAAAGAAAAGUGUGUGACAGUUUCAGAUCUUCUGAUGUGCAGUCUACAUACAGGAAGUACAACCACAGCUCAACUUGUGCAUGUGAAGAAUGGGAUCCAGUGGUGUGGAUGUGAUGAUAGAUGGAUAACAUCAGAAGAGGAAGAGCUCACUGACCUCUUGUUUUUCUUCUCCUCUCUCCUGGGGUCCAGUUUUCCCAGGAAUCCCUUGACCUAUCAGAAAGGGGGAUUCCUGGAAAUACUGUUCUUGGGGGCGGGGCUUAUCAUCAAUUCCAUGUACACUACGUUGAACCAUAAUUAUGUAUGGUGAGUGUGAUAAUGUUACAGCUUUAAAUUGAGUUAGUCUUGUCUAUAUGUAGUGUUUAGACAUGAGAGAAACACAUCAUUCAUUAUUAUUUCACUCCAGUUCAAAGUUACUUGUCAUGUUCCUGUUGAUGAGAUUCAGUGAUGAGCUGAAUAAAUAUUCAAAACAAAGCA